GCAUAUCAAUAAGCGGAGGAAAAGAAACCAACAGGGAUUCCCCUAGUAACGGCGAGUGAAGCGGGAACAGCUCAAAUUUGAAAUCUGGCCUUCGGGUCCGAGUUGUAAUUUGCAGAGGAUGCUUUUGGUGCGGUGCCUUCCGAGUUCCCUGGAACGGGACGCCUUAGAGGGUGAGAGCCCCGUACGGUUGGCCACCAAGCCUGUGUAAAGCUCCUUCGACGAGUCGAGUAGUUUGGGAAUGCUGCUCAAAAUGGGAGGUAUAUUUCUUCUAAAGCUAAAUACUGGCCAGAGACCGAUAGCGCACAAGUAGAGUGAUCGAAAGAUGAAAAGCACUUUGAAAAGAGGGUUAAAUAGCACGUGAAAUUGUUGAAAGGGAAGGGUUUAUGACCAGACCUUUUCUAGGGGGAUCAUCCGGUGUUCUCACCGGUGCACUUCCCCUAGUUGAGGCCAGCAUCGGUUUCUGUAGGGGGAUAAAAGCUUCGGGAAUGUGGCUCCUUCGGGAGUGUUAUAGCCCGUUGCAUAAUACCCUUACGGGGACCGAGGUCCGCGCUUCGGCUAGGAUGCUGGCGUAAUGGUUAUUAACCACCCGUCUUGAAACACGGACCAAGGAGUCGAACAUUUGUGCGAGUGUUUGGGUGUUAAACCCUCACGCGUAAUGAAAGUGAACGGAGGUGAGAGCCCUCACGGGUGCAUCAUCGACCGAUCCUGAUGUCUUCGGAUGGAUUUGAGUAAGAGCAUAACUGUUCGGACCCGAAAGAUGGUGAACUAUGCGUGGAUAGGGUGAAGCCAGAGGAAACUCUGGUGGAGGCUCGCAGCGGUUCUGACGUGCAAAUCGAUCGUCAAAUCUGCGCAUGGGGGCGAAAGACUAAUCGAACCAUCUAGUAGCUGGUUACCGCC
rnacentral:rRNA from 1 species